GGCAUGUGGGAUCUUCCCGGACCGGGGCACGAACCCGUGUCCCCUGCAUCGGCAGGCGGACUCUCGACCACUGCGCCACCAGGGAAGCCCCCUCCUCACAGUUUUUUCACGCAACAGUUCCCCGACCAGGGACUGAACCCGGGCCCUCAGCAAUGAAAGCGCGGCGUCCUAACCACUGGACCACCAGGGAAGUCCCUAAAACCAUUAUUGACCACUGUCAUCGUAGAGCUGUUUGGACCAAGAGGAGCAACUUGAGCUUGUGCGUGUGUCCUAACGUUGCAAGUCCCUUCGGCAGUGAGAAGGGCCAAGGUCAGGAGCGAAAGAAAGUUGUAUUUGAUCUGGGGCUUCUGGCUUUGUGGAGUUAUGGCACUGAAGGACUCGGACCUGGCAGGACCUUCGGGGCAAAUUCCUGAAAGUCUGACCAUCAACUGUUUCUUUUCUGAUGUACUGACCCUAGUGACCCGACUGGUCAAAUUUUGUCAUUUCUAUCUCUAUCCCUUCUCCCUCUCCACAAUUAAAGGAUGUUUUCCUCUCAUUCAGAUGCCC